UGCCUGUGCCGGCCCCACGGUCAGAAAGCUCCCCUAAAAAGUGGGAGAAUCCGAUCUUCGCGCGGUGCAGGUUCGUCUCCUAACCCAGCGGGUCAGGCCCGGCCUCCGUCUGACCUUCGCUCCGGAAUCCGGAUGGGCCUGGAGCGCUCUAGGAAAGAGAUGGAGGAAUGACCGGAGUGGAGCGACAGAGGGGAGAAAGGAACACAGAAAAUGCAAAGAAAGAAAACGAGGGAAAGCUGUUGAUUUUGUUUUGUUUUGUUUUGUUUUUGAUUCAUUGUAUUCUCCCCCCUCCUCCCCCAGAGGAAGGAAGAGGGAGAGAUAGAAACAUCAAUCAUUGAUCAGCUGCCUCCUGCACGCCCACACCGGAGAUUGAGCCGCAACCUGGGCAUGUGCCCUUGACUGGAACUGAACCCAGGACCCUUCAGUCUGUAGGCCGACUGCUUUAGCCACUGAGCCAAACCAGCUGGAGCUCAUUUUAUUCUUAACUUCCCUCCCUCCUUGACUCUGGCGUAAAAGGUGUUAUUCUUAUUUUACCCGAGAGGAAACUGAAGCACAGAGAGAGGAGUGACCUACCCCAAGUCACAGCAAGUUUGAAACAGCCCCUGAGCUCUGACUGGGGAGCACGCAGGCCACUGAAGACAAAGUGAGAAGACAGCUGUCUACAGCCAGGAAGAGGGCCUCCACCAGGAGCAAAGGUGGCCGGCACCUUGAUCUUGGACUUCUCAGCCCCGAGAGCUAUCCCUUCUCAACCUCUCAGUCAACUGAAGCCUCUCUGGACUUCACAGCCUCGUUUGGUGCAGUUCCAGUUUGCAGCCACUCACGGCGUGUUGUCCAUGCCAGGCUCUGGGUCGGGCACUGCGCACCCAGGAUUAAAAAGUGCCCACCCAGUCCCCACCCCAGAGGAGUGCAGCCUGGUGAGGUGGCAGACAGGUCGAUAACCGCUAACCAUCGCCAGGAUGUCGUGUGGUAGGCUGGAUAAGCCUGAAAGCCCAGCGAGUGUCCCACCCUCAGGCCCAUAAGAGCAGACUUGCUCUGAGGGAGGAGUUCUCUCCCAAGUUGCCAUGGUGUAAGCCUCCUGCAGCCAGUGGCCUCAGUCCACAUGCUGGCCCUGGCUCAUACUACCGGCCUCG